rnacentral:rRNA from 1 species
UCAAGCUACUAAGGGCAUACGGUGGAUGCCUUGGCACUAAGAGCCGAUGAAGGACGCGGUAAGCUGCGAAAAGCCACGGGGAACUGCAAGCAAGUCUUGAUCCGUGGAUGUCCGAAUGGGGAAACCCACCAUCCGUCAUGGGAUGGUAUCCUACGGGAGGGGAACCCGGUGAACUGAAACAUCUAAGUAGCCGGAGGAAGAGAAAUCAAACGAGAUGCCCACAGUAGCGGCGAGCGAAGAGGGCAGAGCCUAAACCAGUCAUCUUCGGAUGGUUGGGGUUACGGACCUGCAUCAACCGAGUCCUACCUAGUCGAAUUACCUGGAAAGGUAAGCCAGAGAGCGUAAGAGCCGCGUAGGUGAAAGGAAGGACGAGGGGGCAGGGAUCCAGAGUACCACGAAGCACGAGGAAUUUUGUGGGAAGUCGGGGGGACCACCCUCCAAGGCUAAACACUUCUUAGUGACCGAUAGCGCAUAGUACCGUGAGGGAAAGGUGAAAAGAACCGCGGGAGCGGAGUGAAAGAGAACCUGAAACCGUAUGUCUACAAGCAGUCGGAGCGCAAGCGACGGCGUGCCUAUUGAAGAAUGAGCCAACGAGUUACGGGCACCAGCGAGGUUAAGCAGGAAAUGCGGAGCCGGAGCGAAAGCGAGUCUAAACAGGGCGAAUAGUUGGUGUUCGUAGACCCGAAACUGUAGUGAUCUACCCAUGAUCAGGUUGAAGCGCAGGUAAAAAUGCGUGGAGGACCGAACCGGUGAGCGUUGAAAAGCUUUCGGAUGAAUCGUGGGUAGCGGUGAAAUUCCAAUCGAACGCAGAGAUAGCUGGUUCUCCUCGAAAUAGCUUUAGGGCUAGCCUCAAGCAGUAAGCAUAGGCGGUAGAGCACUGAUCGGGAUAGGGUCCGUAAAGGAUACCGAACCCUGUCAAACUACGAAUGGUUAUGCUGCAGAGCUUGGGAGUCAGACUACGAGAGAUAAGUCCCGUUGUCAAAAGGGAAACAGCCCAGACCGUCAGCUAAGGUCCCCAAUGCCAUACUAAGUGGAAAAGGAUGUGGGGUCUCAUAAACAACCAGGAUGUUGGCUCAGAAGCAGCCACCAUUUAAAGAGUGCGUAAUAGCUCACUGGUCGAGAGGCCCUGCGCCGAAGAUUCCCGGGGCUAAAGUAUGGAACCGAAGCUACGGAUGCGGUACUUGUACCGCGUGGUAGAGGAGCGUUCCCAUUGGGUUGAAGUCGUCCUGGAAGGGACGGUGGACUGGUGGGAAGUGAGAAUGUUGGCAUGAGUAGCGAAAAGAUAGGUGAGAAUCCUAUCCACCGAAAGCAUAAGGAUUCCUGAGCAACGAUCGUCGUCUCAGGGUAAGUCGGGACCUAAUCCGAGGCAUGGAGCGUAGGAGAUGGACAACUGGUUGAUAUUCCAGUACCGGCAGCAAUCGUUUGAACGAUGGAGUGACGCAGGAAGGCAGGUCCGCGCGAGAAUGGUAGAUCGCGUACAAGCGUGCAGGCUGGUGCACAGGCAAAUCCGUGUACUGAGGCUGAGGCGUGAUGUGGAGGGAACUUGUUCCCGAAGGGAUUGAGCCUACGCUGCCGAGAAAAGCUUCUAGUGAGAAAGCUGCCGCCCGUACCGUAAACCGACACAGGUAUGCGGGGAGAGAAUCCUAAGGUGCGCGGGAGAACCCUCGUUAAGGAACUCGGCAAAAUGUACCCGUAACUUCGGGAUAAGGGUAGCCACAGUGGUGAAGGGACUUGCUCCUGGAGCCUAGUGUGGUCGCAGAGAAGAGGCCCAAGCGACUGUUAACCAGAAACACAGGUGCCUGCGAAAGAGAAAUCUGAUGUAUAGGUGCUGACACCUGCCCAGUGCUGGAAGGUUAAAGAAGGAUGUCCGGGUUCGACCCAAAGCAUUUGACUGAAGCCCCAGUGAACGGCGGCCGUAACUAUAACGGUCCUAAGGUAGCGAAAUUCCUUGUCGGGUAAGUUCCGACCCGCACGAAAGGUGUAACGAUUUGGGCACUGUCUCAACGAGGGACCCGGUGAAAUUGAAAUACCUGUGAAGAUGCAGGUUACCCGCGACUGGACAGAAAGACCCCAUGGAGCUUUACUGUAACCUAAUAUUGGGUUCUGAUAUUCGACGCACAGGAUAGGUGGGAGGCUUGGAGCAUGGUCCUCUGGGAUCAUGGGAGCCGCCGUUGGGAUACCACCCUUCGAAUAUCGGGAUUCUAACCGCAGGAGCAACGAUCCUCGGGACAGUGUUAGGCGGGCAGUUUGACUGGGGCGGUCGCCUCCUAAAGGGUAACGGAGGCGCCCAAAGGU